CAGUCGCCACGGUAAUACGAAGGGUGCAAGCGUUACCCGGAAUUACUGGGCGUAAAGCGUGCGUAGGUGGUGGUUUAAGUCCGUUGUGAAAGCCCUGGGCUCGACCUGGGAAUUGCAGUGGAUACUGGGCCACUAGAGUGUGGUAGAGGAUAGUGGAAUUUCCGGUGUAGCAGUGAAAUGCGUAGAGAUCGGAAGGAACAUCUGUGGCGAAGGCGACUAUCUGGGCCAACACUGACACUGAGACACGAAAGCGUGGGGAGCAAACAGGAUUAGAUACCCCCGUAGUCCCUGUCUCUUAUAC
rnacentral:rRNA from 1 species